rnacentral:rRNA from 1 species
AUUGAACGCUGGCGGCAGGCCUAACACAUGCAAGUCGAGCGGAUGAAUGGAGCUUGCUCCUGGAUUCAGCGGCGGACGGGUGAGUAAUGCCUAGGAAUCUGCCUGGUAGUGGGGGAUAACGUCCGGAAACGGGCGCUAAUACCGCAUACGUCCUGAGGGAGAAAGUGGGGGAUCUUCGGACCUCACGCUAUCAGAUGAGCCUAGGUCGGAUUAGCUAGUUGGUGGGGUAAAGGCCUACCAAGGCGACGAUCCGUAACUGGUCUGAGAGGAUGAUCAGUCACACUGGAACUGAGACACGGUCCAGACGCCUACGGGAGGCAGCAGUGGGGAAUAUUGGACAAUGGGCGAAAGCCUGAUCCAGCCAUGCCGCGUGUGUGAAGAAGGUCUUCGGAUUGUAAAGCACUUUAAGUUGGGAGGAAGGGCAGUAAGUUAAUACCUUGCUGUUUUGACGUUACCAACAGAAUAAGCACCGGCUAACUUCGUG